GACGAACGCUGGCGGCGUGCCUAAUACAUGCAAGUCGAGCGAAUCAAUAGGAGCUUGCUCCUGUUGGUUAGCGGCGGACGGGUGAGUAACACGUGGGCAACCUGCCUGUAAGACUGGGAUAACACCGGGAAACCGGUGCUAAUACCGGAUAAUCCUUUUCCUCUCAUGAGGAAAAGCUGAAAGACGGUUUCGGCUGUCACUUACAGAUGGGCCCGCGGCGCAUUAGCUAGUUGGUGAGGUAACGGCUCACCAAGGCGACGAUGCGUAGCCGACCUGAGAGGGUGAUCGGCCACACUGGGACUGAGACACGGCCCAGACUCCUACGGGAGGCAGCAGUAGGGAAUCUUCCACAAUGGACGAAAGUCUGAUGGAGCAACGCCGCGUGAGCGAUGAAGGCCUUCGGGUCGUAAAGCUCUGUUGUUAGGGAAGAACAAGUACAGGAGUAACUGCCGGUACCUUGACGGUACCUAACCAGAAAGCCACGGCUAACUACGUGCCAGCCGCCGCCGUAACAC
rnacentral:rRNA from 1 species